AAAACAAAAAAACAUGGCAGGUAAUAACAGGCAGAAGAAAUCUUCUUUCUCUUUGUUCAGUUUCUUCAAAGGUAGAAAUUCCCGUUCGGCCAAAAGGGGUGACGAUUCGAGAGACGAGUAUGUGAAGGCUUACAAAGUUUAUCCAAGCGAUGAGGACAGAGGCCGGUGGGUGGCCGAGCCCGGGAUUGACAAGAAAGCCUCUGCUUACAUCUCUUUAACUACUGAUAAGUGGGAAAAACUCGCGGUGGCUAAUUAGUAGAUUGUUUCUAUUUCGUUAUUCGUUCCGGAGAACUAGCUCUACUUAUAUUUGUUCUAUAUAUGUGAAUUAAUGUAAUUCAUUGGUUUUAUUUGAUGCUAUUAGUUGUUUCUAAGUUGAAUGGAUCAGUAGAUAGUUGCUGAAUUGCAAAUAAUUAAUAUGAGAAAGAAUAAGAUGAUG
rnacentral:lncRNA from 1 species